rnacentral:rRNA from 1 species
UGCCAGACUCCUACGGGAGGCAGCAGUGGGGAAUAUUGCACAAUGGGGGAAACCCUGAUGCAGCGACGCCGCGUGAGUGAAGAAGUAAUUCGUUAUGUAAAGCUCUAUCAGCAGGGAAGAAAAUGACGGUACCUGAGUAAGAAGCCCCGGCUAACUACGUGCCAGCAGCCGCGGUAAUACGUAGGUGGCAAGCGUUGUCCGGAUUUACUGGGUGUAAAGGGCGUGCAGCCGGGAGUGCAAGUCAGAUGUGAAAUCCCGCGGCUCAACCGCGGAACUGCAUUUGAAACUGUGCUUCUUGAGUGCUGGAGAGGCAGACGGAAUUCCUAGUGUAGCGGUGAAAUGCGUAGAUAUUAGGAGGAACACCAGUGGCGAAGGCGGUCUGCUGGACAGUAACUGACGGUGAGGCGCGAAAGCGUGGGGAGCAAACAGGAUUAGAUACCCCAGUACU